CAGGUUUACCUGUGUGACUGCGUACCUUUUGUAUAAUGGGUCAGCGACUUAUAUUCUGUAGCAAGGUUAACCGUAUAGGGGAGCCGGAGGGAAACCGAGUCUUAAUUGGGCGUUAAGUUGCAGGGUAUAGACCCGAAACCCGGUGAUCUAGCCAUGGGCAGGUUGAAGGUUGGGUAACACUAACUGGAGGACCGAACCGACUAAUGUUGAAAAAUUAGCGGAUGACCUGUGGCUGGGGGUGAAAGGCCAAUCAAACCGGGAGAUAGCUGGUUCUCCCCGAAAGCUAUUUAGGUAGCGCCUCGUGAAUUCAUCUCCGGGGGUAGAGCACUGUUUCGGCUAGGGGGCCAUCCCGGCUUACCAACCCGAUGCAAACUGCGAAUACCGGAGAAUGUUAUCACGGGAGACACACGGCGGGUGCUAACGUCCGUCGUGAAGAGGGAAACAACCCAGACCGCCAGCUAAGGUCCCAAAGUCAUGGUUAAGUGGGAAACGAUGUGGGAAGGCCCAGACAGCCAGGAUGUUGGCUUAGAAGCAGCCAUCAUUUAAAGAAAGCGUAAUAGCUCACUGGUCGAGUCGGCCUGCGCGGAAGAUGUAACGGGGCUAAACCAUGCACCGAAGCUGCGGCAGCGAACGUAUCACCCAAGACAACUUUACGGAGUUGACGAUUGACGGAGCGAAGCGACGUCAAAGCGUUCAUUAAAGUCGAGUUGGCUUAGGGAUACGUUCGUUGGGUAGGGGAGCGUUCUGUAAGCCUGUGAAGGUGUGUCGUGAGGCAUGCUGGAGGUAUCAGAAGUGCGAAUGCUGACAUAAGUAACGAUAAAGCGGGUGAAAAGCCCGCUCGCCGGAAGACCAAGGGUUCCUGUCCAACGUUAAUCGGGGCAGGGUGAGUCGACCCCUAAGGCGAGGCCGAAAGGCGUAGUCGAUGGGAAACGGGUUAAUAUUCCCGUACUUGGUGUUACUGCGAAGGGGGGACGGAGAAGGCUAUGUUGGCCGGGCGACGGUUGUCCCGGUUUAAGCGUGUAGGUGUGUGUUCCAGGUAAAUCCGGUUCACUUUAACACUGAGGCGUGACGACGAGGCACUACGGUGCUGAAGCAACAAAUGCCCUGCUUCCAGGAAAAGCCUCUAAGCAUCAGGUAACAUCAAAUCGUACCCCAAACCGACACAGGUGGUCAGGUAGAGAAUACCAAGGCGCUUGAGAGAACUCGGGUGAAGGAACUAGGCAAAAUGGUGCCGUAACUUCGGGAGAAGGCACGCUGACACGUAGGUGAAGUGAUUUACUCAUGGAG
rnacentral:rRNA from 1 species